UGGGGAAUAUUGCACAAUGGGCGCAAGCCUGAUGCAGCCAUGCCGCGUGUGUGAAGAAGGCCUUCGGGUUGUAAAGCACUUUCAGCGGGGAGGAAGGCGGUGAGGUUAAUAACCUCACCGAUUGACGUUACCCGCAGAAGAAGCACCGGCUAACUCCGUGCCAGCAGCCGCGGUAAUACGGAGGGUGCAAGCGUUAAUCGGAAUUACUGGGCGUAAAGCGCACGCAGGCGGUCUGUCAAGUCGGAUGUGAAAUCCCCGGGCUCAACCUGGGAAAUGCAUUCGAAACUGGCAGGCUAGAGUCUUGUAGAGAGGGGUAGAAUUCCAGGUGUAGCGGUGAAAUGCGUAGAGAUCUGGAGGAAUACCGGUGGCGAAGGCGGCCCCCUGGACAAAGACUGACGCUCAGGUGCGAAAGCGUGGGGAGCAAACAGG
rnacentral:rRNA from 1 species